GAUGAAGAACGCAGCGAAAUGCGAUAAGUAAUGUGAAUUGCAGAAUUCAGUGAAUCAUCGAGUCUUUGAACGCACAUUGCGCCCCCUGGCAUUCCGGGGGGCAUGCCUGUCCGAGCGUCAUUGCUGCCCUUCAAGCCCGGCUUGUGUGUUGGGUCGUCGUCCCCCCCGGGGGACGGGCCCGAAAGGCAGCGGCGGCACCGCGUCCGGUCCUCGAGCGUAUGGGGCUUUGUCACCCGCUCGAUUAGGGCCGGCCGGGCGCCAGCCGGCGUCUCCAACCUUCUAUUUUACCAGGUUGACCUCGGAUCAGGUAGGGAUACCCGCUGAACUUAAGCAUAUCAAUAAGCGGAGGA
rnacentral:misc_RNA from 1 species